rnacentral:tRNA from 1 species
CCCUCGGUGGCGAAAUGGUAGACGCAGUGGACUUAAAAUCCACCGCCCUAAAAAGCGUGCCGGUUCGAGUCCGGCCCGAGGGA